rnacentral:rRNA from 1 species
UACAGAGGGAGCAAGCGUUGUUCGGAUUUACUGGGCGUAAAGGGCGCGUAGGCGGCAAAUCAAGUCAGCUGUGAAAUCUCCGAGCUUAACUCGGAACGGUCAGCUGAUACUGUCUUGCUAGAGUACAGAAGGGGCAAUCGGAAUUCUUGGUGUAGCGGUGAAAUGCGUAGAUAUCAAGAGGAACACCUGAGGUGAAGACGGGUUGCUGGGCUGAUACUGACGCUGAGGCGCGAAAGCUAGGGUAGCAAACGGG